CCUCACUUUUAGUUGCCAUCAUUAAGUUGGGCACUCUGAAAGAACUGCCAGUGAUAAGCUGGAGGAAGGUGGGGAUGACGUCAAGUCCUCAUGGCCCUUACGUGUUGGGCUACACACGUGCUACAAUGGCAUCUACAACAGGAAGCAAAACGGCAACGUUAAGCAAAUCCCGAAAAGAUGCCUCAGUUCGGAUUGCACUCUGCAACUCGAGUGCAUGAAGCUGGAAUUACUAGUAAUCGUGGAUCAGCGUGCCACGGUGAAUGCGUUCCCGGGUCUU
rnacentral:rRNA from 1 species